GUGUAAUCAAUACAUUGAAUAUCUAUUUUUGGUCUAUUAAUUAAACUCCUGAGAGAACCGAGCAUUUUAUCUUUAUCGCGAGAACAAUUUGCAUAUAUAGAACUAUCAGAUGUCAUAUCAUUAAUUAACAAUGUCUUAAAUGACGUAAUAAAAUUGUGACAAUCUGGGCGUGUAUUAGAGCCACCAUGACCUCUGAUUUGUGAAAAAAAUUCCAGGGGAUCCUGGUUUAAUUGCUGAAGACUCAAGAAGUUAACGCCUGAAAUGUUUUUAAAAUCUUUACGGUUUUUAACCGACUUCCAAAAAGGAGGAGGUUCUACGUUCGGCUGUAUGUAUGUUUUUAAUAAUAAAGACCAAAACAGUGAAUAUGCCAGCUGUUCUAAUAUGUAGCUGGAUAGUAAGCUAGUAAUAAAGUCAGGUCCAAUAUGACGUAAAGCUGUUUUUAUUUUUAAAUUCUCAAUCGAUUCAUUGUGUUAUGUCGUUGAGAUUUUGUAAAUUACUCGAGCAGUGUUAUUCGGUUAUGUUAUUAUUUUAUGUUCACCCAAUCAGUUUUAUCAAAGAUUAGCUGACGCCUCGCGGUUUCACCCGCGUGGUUCCCGUUCCCGUAGGAAUACGGAGAUAAUAAAUAGCCUAUAGCCUUCCUCGAUAAAUGGGCUAUCUAACACUGAAAGAAUUUUUCAAAUCAGACCAGUAGUUCCUCAUAUUAGCGCGUUCAAUCAAACAAACAAACUCUUCAGCUUAAAUAUAUUAGUAUAGAUUCACUUUUUAAAUUUCACAUACCCACUGGCAAAAUGGCAUUUGUUUCACCAGAUGGUAUGUGAUUACCACCGCCCAUGAAUCAUGUUGAGGUUAUUUCUUUAUCAACAUAUUAAAACUGGGCGGAAAGUCAUUGUUUCAACAAUAUUAACAAUGCUAUUUAAUUUGAAAAUAAACUAAGAAUGUUACUUUUUGUGAGGUAUCUAAGAUGGAAAAUUUUAUUUUGAAAUUAGCAAAAUGCUCAUCCCAGAGCGUUUGAAAAGUUAUUACAGAGUAUUCACCAAACUUCGAGCGCUUUGAUUAACCCUGGGAUAUGUUAUAGUGCACUGCAAUGAUAUUAAAUACUAGAUGUGUUACUAGCGCAUGAAAAAUGAGGCGCUCAAAAGAGGAAAUUUAUAGUCGACUCAAUGUUCGUUGUGGUCAACAAUAAACAACAAUUUAAACAAAUACCUAAUACCUAAAUAUUCUCUACAAUGUCGAGUUGUGUGUUCAAAAAGUGUAAAAACUAUAUAUACAUAAAUAUAUAAUGGACUUAAAGACAAAAUUGUGCAUGUGUGCGCUCAGUGUCGUAGCCUUUUAUUCGGAUCACUUUUUGCGGUGAUUUUGUAGGGACGUAACCAAUCUAUAGUAUAAAAUUAUCAUUGGUGUACUGCACAACCAUACGUCUCCUGUUCAGAGCGGACUUGAAGUUUGUCGCGGUCUAUACGUGCAUUGUGGUUUUGCCUGCUUUUGAGACUUAUUAGGAGUUCUAUUUACGCCUCACAGAUUCGUAAUGUUUUAUAUUGAUGUCAUAAGUCAUGCCUUCCUAUGCACAGACAUAGUCGCGUGUUAGGUUGUUGUUAUAUUGCAUACUAAUGCCCGGCCGCUCAGAGAUUUUUUGACAGGUCGUGAUCGAAUAGGUGAUGUAACUUCGAACUGCCGUACAAAGUUGUUGAACUGCGCUGUUUCAAGGUUAUGCCAACUGUUUGUCUUGGUAGUGAUGGGACAAAUAACGAGGCAAUUGUAAUUGGAUGUUCGAUCGAUGAUUCGAUCAUGACCUGUCGGAAACGCAAUCACUGAGCGGCCGGACUUAAAUUGUAAAUGUGUGAUUCGGUGUUUGAAUGAAGACUGAUUUUUAUUUAAUUGAUUAUAAUGGUCAUGUUUGUAGAAUUGAGAUUUUGCUACGCCAUGUUUCAAAUUGGAACCAACGGCUAUGUGUUGUAUUCUUUUUUUUUAAAUUAAUUUUUCUACUUUUUCGAUGUCAAUUAAGUAUUACAAGUCUCAGAUUUUACAAAAACUUGUGUAUGUUUCUUAUUGUAUUUUUCUAAACAAUACAAAUUUAAAUUUAUAUUCACCGUUCGGUAUUCAAAUCCGAGAAUUAUUAUUUUUUAAUUAAUGGUAAUUUUGCAAUGAAAUAUUUCUUUAGGUAUUUAAAAUGUAAAAAUAAUAUACUUGAAACAAAGCAAUUUUUAUAAAAUUUAAUUUGUUUGUAAUUACGAAAAUAUUCCUACAUUUGCGACGGUCUACUAAACUAGCUAAUAUUUUUGUUGUGGCAACAUUUGAGGGAGUCUUUCAAACGACCGUAGACUGAGAAAUAAAUAGAUAACAGAUUGGCGUGCCGUUGUAAGUCAAAAUAUAUACGAUUUUGGCAUCUCAAAACUAAUUUACACCAAGUUCUUUCUUUUUUGGACCAUAACUGCUCUAGAAAAAAACGGCCUAAAUAUCGAAUCGCAUUAUCUCGUUUUUUACGUAUCGGUUAUCUUUUUGAGGGAAUGCGAUGGACGCUACCUAUGUCUAUUUACUUCUCUGUCUAAGUGCAAAUGAAAAGUUUAAAAAAUACUUUUUCGGAUAUACUUUCCUAAUUACUCCAAGGCUAACUGUACAGUACCUAAAUAGGUUUUUUUUUACUCCUGUUAGUUAAAUUUAACAUUAACGGCUUUUGAAUGCCGAACCACUUAAAAUUGUACGCGGUUGCUGAAGGUUGCUGCUUAGGUUUUUAUCAUCGUGACUUAGGAGUAUGAACGAAUUUAAAUGUGAUUUUCUUUUUUUUAUAUUUUUGUCUGACGCAUUUCAUUUCAUUAGGAAAAUAAUGUUUUUGUCUAAAAAAUACUACUAAAUACCUUUGUAUAACUUCAAAUUAUCUAAAUUAGAAUAUUGUUUAUUUUAAAAUAAAGACAACUUCAAGGCAUUUUACAAAUGUGUGUGUCUUAACGGUUGUAAGGGACAUGUUCACGAAAACUUAAAUCAACGAAACUUGGAAUUUGGUACUUGGUUGGUACAUUGUUCAUCAGUCCUUUUAAUGACUUUUUAACUAAUGACAACAUGGAAUGACCUAUAAGCAUAGUCCAUUUCAUUACGAUUUCAACUAAAAGUCCACAAAUUAGCAUUACAUUUUAAAACUCGCGCGUGUAGCUGUUUUUCGAAGAAUUAAACUAAUCGUCAGCAGUACAUAAGUGGAUGGGUUUGUCGCAUUCAUAGACUAAAUAAUAUAACAUACUUGUGCACUUAUACUGCUCAAAAUUUCUAAAUCACCAAUCAUUUCAGAUAAGUAGUUUAUUUUAUGAUAUCAUUGAAGACAUUAAUUUGUAACAUGUUCAUGGAGUUUCCGAUAACUUGUCCUUUACAUCCUAUAUAAUUCUCUCCUUAUGUUUAUAUUGAAUACAUACUUACUGUAAUAAUUAUAGUGUAAGGGUUGUUAUACAUAAACGGGCAGACAUGCGAAUCGGCUUUUUGCUACCUAGGCUACCCGAUGAUUGGUGUUAAGGCAAGUUUCGUUUUUUUAGUCACAACGGUGGUACAAACAGGUUUGACAACCGUCAAACAAUAACAUAUUUAUGCUUUUUUUUUUUUUUUUUUUUUUUCUCUUGUUUGUUGGUCUAUCGGAGAUCAGUCUCUAGACCAUAAUCCGAUCAAAUGACUAUUUUAGUAUGUCGUUUCGGGCUCUGCACAUCCACUGAUGUAGCGUCCCUCCAGGAAUAAGUAUAUACUACUAUACUAUGUUGGCCAGUCGUGUUCGUUUCAGGCGGAAUUUGCAGUCCCUGACGUCUAACAAUUUGACAGCCAGGUUGUUUUUAUGGCGCUCAAGCCUCUGUUUGUAGGCCUCUAGUGACCUGUCUAUUUCCUCCUUAACAGGUGAAAUGUUAAGAUGGCUAUGUGUUUCUGCAGUCUUGACGAACCAUGGUGCAUUGCAUAUUACAUUCAAUACAUUGUUUUGGAAGCGCUGAAGUAUUUCAAUGUUUGAGUGGCUAGCAGAGCCCCAGAGUUGAAUACCGUAGGUCCAUACUGGUUUUAUAACACAUUUAUUAUAUAUAUUUAUGCUUUUAAUAAAACAAUAUAUAAUUGUUUAUUUAAUUGUGAGCACGAAAUUUUUGCAAUUUAUAAGUAACCAGUUAGUUUAAAAAAUAUUGGUGAAAUGAAAGUUUAGUGAUGUUUGUUGGGAUGUCAAAAUCGUAUAUGUAUAUUUGACUAGCAAAAAUACGCCAAUCACUCGUCUAUUUACUACUACGUCUACGGAGUUGCAACAAUUUAUUGGUUACAAGGGAACACUUUUUAUAAAUCCAGACGUUUAUCGUACGUCUUCAGAGCACACAACUUAUGGCGGCGUCCAUAUAGUGUUUGUGCUGAUGUAAGCGUCGAUCGUGCCUAAUCGAUUAUAUGUAUGGCAACCCUAAGUAUAAGCAAGGAGCUGUAUUUUGCACUAUAGCUAUGGUACAUAAGUAUUAUCUAUUCUUUGUUCGUUCGGUGUUUUGUGUGAUUUUUUGUUUCUUUAAACAAAUCAUUAGGUAAUUUGGGCAUUUGUAAAUGAGAUAAAAUAAAUGUACCUACCUAUAUAAACAGUAAAAGAUUGUUUUGGAAAACAAAUACUCACACACUCCGCCGCGCGUACAAAUCCUUUGUAACAUUUUAGAAUGUCCUUUUUUACAUGUUGCGUGGUGUGUAAUCAAAAAUUAUUCAAAGUUACUACUAAUAUUAAAACGAAUGUGAAAUUGUUUCAGUGCAAACGUAAAUUUAUGUAAAUUCAUGUGCUACAAAUAAAUUAUGUAUGUAGACAAAUAAAUAAAUUUGAUUCACUUUG